rnacentral:misc_RNA from 1 species
GUGUGAACUAUUCACACUGAUCAGGUCACUUCCCCUUCUCUGAUUUGUUAUGCAUGAAACAAGAUGUUAGGUCUGCUUGUGCAUUUUUAUUUGGUUGAUGGUGUAUUAUGUGGCCAUCAUUAGUUUAUUGUAGCCUAUAUAAUCAUUCUGCAUUCUAAGAAUAUAUCACUUAUAGCCAUUUGGGCGAUUGUGUUUUAUUUGCAUCCUCAUCAAUAGGAGUAUGAGUUUUCCAAUGGGCUAGGAUGGUCGACAUCAAGUAAUAUAUGGCUUCUGUUGCAUGUUCUAAAUUUAUGUUUUUAAUUCCUUGACUCGUGAUCUCUGAUCUGGUGGAUACAGUGGCUUUGGAGGUUUGAUUGAGUUUACAAAAAUGGAUUUGAUAGUUUUUUUGAUAUUGGGUGCUUGUGUGGGAAAUGUUCUGGGUAGCUUGAGGACUAGUGUGGCACAAU